AUCAUGCCCCUUAUGACCUGGGCUACACACGUGCUACAAUGGGAAGUACAACGAGUUGUGAAGUCGCGAGGCUAAGCUAAUCUCUUAAAGCUUCUCUCAGUUGGGAUUGCAGGCUGCAACUCGCCUGCAUGAAGCCGGAAUCGCUAGUAAUCGCGGAUCAGCACGCCGCGGUGAAUACGUUCCCGGGCCUUGUACACACCGCCCGUCACACCACGAGAGUUUGUAACACCAGAAGUAAGGUGAGGUAACCUUUUUGGAGCCAGCCGCCUAAGGUGGGAUAGAUGAUU
rnacentral:rRNA from 1 species